GGGCCCGUAGCUCAGUGGUAGAGCGGUCGGCUCAUAACCGAUUGGUCGUAGGUUCGAUCCCUGCCGGGCCCA
rnacentral:tRNA from 5 species